UACGUAGGGCGCGAGCGUUGUCCGGAAUUAUUGGGCGUAAAGAGCUCGUAGGCGGCCGGUUGCGUCUGCUGUGAAAUCCCGGGGCUUAACCCCGGGCGUGCAGUGGAUACGGGCCGGCUGGAGGCAGGCAGGGGAGAAUGGAAUUCCAGGUGUAGCGGUGAAAUGCGUAGAUAUCUGGAGGAACACCGGUGGCGAAGGCGGCAUCCUGGACCAAUUCUGACGCUGAGGAGCGAAAGCCAGGGGAGCAAACGGG
rnacentral:rRNA from 1 species